rnacentral:rRNA from 1 species
CCUACGGGUGGCAGCAGUGAGGAAUAUUGGUCAAUGGGCGAGAGCCUGAACCAGCCAAGUCGCGUGAAGGAUGACGGCCCUACGGGUUGUAAACUUCUUUUGUCAGGGAGCAAUUGCGUCCACGUGUGGGCUUUGCGAGUGUACCUAGAGAAAACGCAUGGGCUAACUCCGUCCCCGCAGCCGCGGUAAUACGGGGGAUGAGAGCGUUAUCCGGAUUUAUUGGGUUAAAAGGGUGCGUAGGCGGAAUAUCAAGUCAGCGGUAAACCUUGAGGGCUCAACCCCGUCGUGCCGUUGAAACUGGUGUUCUUGAGUGUGCGAGAGGUAUGCGGAAUGCGUGGUGUAGCGGUGAAAUGCAUAGAUAUCACGCAGAACUCCGAUUGCGAAGGCAGCAUACCGGCGCCCAACUGACGCUGAAGCACGAAAGCGUGGGUAUCGAACAGGAUUAGAUACCCCGGUAGUC